AAAAAAUAAGAUUCUCUCUCUCUCUCUCUCUCUUAUUCGUCUUCUCAAAAUUGAAGAAAACAAAAAUUUCUCUGCUCAUAAUUGGUCUCUCCUCUCCCCCACACAUAAGUCCAAAACCAAAUCACUUUUCUUUUUUUUUUUGCUUCAAACUCUCUCCCUCGCUUCGCUUUUCAAUUUCGUAAUUUCGUCAUCGUUGAACCACAGAGAGAGAGAGAGAUAUUUUCUUCUCAUCUCCGGAGCUUCGAAUACUAGGUUAGAAAUGAUUUGGUAGCUUCGAUUUCUCCGCGAUUGUUUUAUUUGAUUCUUCCACUGGAUUUUAGUUCAAGGUUUUGAUUACAUAUAUAGUAGAAUGAUGGAACUGAUCAUCAACAUAUUUUUCUAUGUCGAUGAUGAUGCUUUUUUGUCAUUGUUCCCUUGAUUUCUUCUUUUUCAAACUGUUGAUGACGUUGAGGUUUUGAUCAUUUCACAUCUGAUUAUUUGCAGUCUUCAUCCAUUAUUCGUUAAUCUGAUUUUAUUCAAUAAAGUAGUGAUAGAGAGUUUAUAAGAGGUAAAAUCAAGGCCGUUGUUAGAGAUGAUUAAAUAGUGUUAGAUGUUAGUAGAUAUUUGUCAUUAAGCUUCCCAUCAAUGAUCAGCUUUUUCUCUUUUCCAUACAGGCCAAAACUCCUUUGAAUCGAUUCUGGGGAGCGAGCUCAAAGGAAGUUUUGGGAUAAAAGGGUAAGAGAGUCUAGAAACUCCUCCCUGUAUUUUUACCCUUUUUACCAGUACUAAUUUUUCUCUACUAUGCUAAAUUUAGAUUAGAUCGGAUCGAGAUCGGUUUAGUUGAAACUUUAUUACUAUUAUUUAUGUCAUUUGGUUAGAGUAACAUAAGAACAAAAAGUAACAACUCACAUUUUCUGAAUAUGAUAGCUAUCUCGUUUCUAGAGGUAUGUGCGUUUUCCAAACUUUUGCUUAGCUGGCUCCACAUGACAUUUCUUGUUUCACCAAAUACCAUGCGUUACCAACUUAGACCUGGUAAAAGGGAUUAGAGUUAAAUCAAACUUGUUUUAUUCUUCUUCAUUUGCAUUUACAUUUACAUUUUUUUUUGUAUCUUAUUAACACUAUCACUUGGUAAGAAAUACACAAUGAUGCAGGGCUUUUGGAUCUUAUGAGAUCUACCGAUGUUCUUUGCGGGUCCCUCUAAUUACAUUAUUGUCUGUAUACCUUGUCUGUGUUCUAUUAUUAUUAUAUUAUCGCUCUGCUGAAAACCAAGAUGCGAACCUAUGAUCUGAAAGCCAAAUUUAUUAUUAGUUUAGUAAUGUGUUAGUUAGUAGUAGUAUAGUACUACUAGUAUUAUAUAUUAACGAGUAUGAAUGUGAAAUGGAUGGUACCUCUUUUUCUAAUUAAAUAAUCAAUAAUGCCAUUUAUUUUGAACGUAAGUUAGUGUUGCUGUUGCACAAAAAAAAAGUUAGUGUUGCUAGUCAUAACGUUUCUUCUGAUAUGUUUCUCUUGUGUUUUGUCCAAAGACAGAUCGUGUUUGAUGGAGUUUCACAGAUGAAAGAAUAUUGGGUUCUCAAAACCUCUUGUUGUUGAGUUGCCUCGAUAAAUGAUAUUUGGUUAGUAAAUCCAGAAGAAAAGAAGAUAUGAGAAAGCAUCGGUUUAGAGAGACCUUGAAGUCUUUCUUUGAGCC
rnacentral:lncRNA from 1 species